rnacentral:rRNA from 1 species
GAUCCCAUGUAGACGACAUGGUAGAUAGGCCAGGUGUGGAAGAGCCGUGAGGUUUGGAGCUGACUGGUACUAAUCGAUCGAGGGCUUUACUUA